GAAAAUUAAAUGGAACAAGUAUGAGACAUUCCAGUAUGCAUUAAUUCAAAAGAAAAAGCAAACAAAUACUUUGUCAAUAUACAUUCACAUUACUUUAUACACAUCACUCCAACACCAAAGAAGAGAUGAGUAACAUCAAUAUACCUCAUGCUGACAGAUUCAAUACUUUUUUGUGGGGCCAGGGCUCAUCUUUGCUACACAGCAAGAUCAAAGCUCUGAGACAGACCUGUGGCCAAGACUAAAACCUGACUUUGGCACAAAGAUUGCCCCAGUCUCACUAGAUAAGGCCAGACUCCCUUUAACAACUUUCUUCAAUCAAAAGUGAUAGUCCCACUCCCAAGAAAUUUCCCCCCACGCAUCACGCACAGGAUUCUUCAUUGUACUAAUUCACUUGUAACCAAACUGGCAACAACUGCUCCCUACUGGUGACCUGCCUGCUCAGUGAGACACAGCACCUCCCUGGGCUGUCAGAUAAGCAACAGAGCUGGCAUCAAAGGGGACAGUGACAUAGCCACAAGGCAGAACAUCUGUUUGUAGCAGAGACCUUAGAUAUGCUCAGGCUAACUCAUCAGGCUGCCCCCUUUGAUAGGAGUUGCUGUUUCUGCUGUGCAAGAAAAAUGACAGCAGACAAUAUUAGUAUCUGAAAGGUUCAGCUUCAUUGAGAUAGGUUCCAUUUGGAAUCAACACACCCUGCCAAGGCCACACCAAAACUCUGAACUGAGAAACAAGCCAAAGCCAGCUUCAAGGCCAACAGUAACCACUCUGACAUUCUGCCACCUGCCACAGCAUAACCUGGUAUUUAGCAACUUGUAGCACAGCUACAGGAAGUCAGUUUUCUUAGUAAAACGGAACGUAUGUUCCAGGCCUCUGCAAGAGCAAUGUUUUGUUUCUUUACUUUGCAAGUUUCUGAGGUUUAAACCAGACAGCACACAGAAAAGACCAGGCUGUAUUCUGCAACCCUGAGCUAUCCUUACACCAACAGAGAUGCACUUCCCAUUUUCUUUUUCAAUUGCCCUUGUUAUUGUGUCUGUCUAGAGACUAAAGGAGACAAUUCCAAGUUCAUUUCCUUCAGUGUGCCACAAAGUAGCACAAAGAAAUAUGCAGAAGAUGACAGGGUUAUUUUCAGUGGAAAGAAGAAAUAACACAGGAAGCAGCAAAUUAUAAGAAUCAGUUUCACUUUCCUAUGAAGAAAUUUCACAUGGAGUCACAGACACUGGAAUUACAAACAGGAAGAAAGGCAAACAGGCAGCAACUGAGAAAGAAACUGCAAUGAGAUGGUGAGGAACGGGUGACUCCAUCUCUUCCAUUACAAAAGCGAUGAAAAAAUAAAAAACCAUGAAAAAACCAAAUUUUCUCCUUUCUAACCUGUGAAUCACAGAAUCAGCACUCAUUUUCAAAAACCUUAGGACCCUAAUUAAAGCUUCACAAAGAGAUUCCAGAGAAUCUUUCCAUUUCUGACUGAGAAGCUGAAUGCUCACCUCUUUAUAAUCCCCCUUGCCUACAGGAUGGACUGCUCUACAGGUAACUUUAAAGUGCUGGGAAGGAGAAUGGUCCCAGGAGUGUUCUUCUGAAUAUUUUUUGUUUCAAGUUACUUAUAUAUUUUUUAAUACCUAGACAAAUCUUCAUAAAUCCGUUUAAGAUAUUUCAAACAAGCAAAUAGAAAACUCAAAUCUAUUUUAAAUAAGUGCACAAGUACUGAAUAGCUGUACACAGUGACAAAUAUUACAUACCAUUUUCUCUUCAUAUGUAGGAUCUGUUUCCUGGAUUUCUUUUUGCUUUGCCAAAGAUGCAUCAUCAAAAGACUCCUGAGAUGAAAAAGAAUUAAGAAGAAAUAUUUCUGAAAAAGGGAAGAUACCUAUUUAAAGGAGAACAAGCUUGUUUCACAUUGCAUCAAAGCAGCAAAAGCAGGCUGUAGCACCUGAUGUGGACAGAUAGCAGUCAGCUCUCUCUUAUUUGCUAUACAAUUACCUGGAGAUGGAUUGAAGACCCCUGCCACGGGGUGAGGGACAGAGCAGGGUCUCUGUAAUCUGAUUUAGCUCCAUCAUUAAGGCAUGACAUCAAUGUGAAUGGGGGAGACAGCUGUGGUCCAGGAGAUCAGCAUGCCACUUCUAGGGUGCUGAAACAACCCCUCAUGAAGCUGGCUCUGAGGUGGACUGUGAAAGCACUAGCUCCAGGCCUGAAGUGAGGGUAAUUUCAAGGUUUUUGCCAGAUCACCCCAAUCCCUCAUCACUCUGUAUUAAAGGAACAAAUCUAAAGAAGAUUCCACCCUGCAUUUUUGUCCUGAAAGCUGAGGAGGAGUUUAGGAAACUGUAUUUUUCUCCUGUGCAGUUUAUUAAAUUAAAUAAUGUUCAUCACCCAUGGCACUACUAAGAACAGUAAAACCAGCUGGCUGGGAGAGGGCAGUCCUCCCUCACUGCCUUCCUGCCACAUCCUUAACAUACUGCCUUCAAUUACUCUUUUGGAUCAGGGCUUUUUUAUCCUUGUCUCUUCUGUCAUUAGGUUAACCCUUUCCACAUCAUCUCCCAUAAGCAUUUUCAUCUUCUGUUGUUAAAACUAAAAGCAGUGAGAUGAUCCUUCCCAGACAAACAAUGCUAAGGUAACAUAUUACAACACAACUCUUGAAAGGGUGAGAAAAUGAAACAAAUGAGAUGCUUUCAAGUGUUUAUUAACCAUCUGUUUAACUGAGCCAAGUAAGAAUGGGGCUAAAUUCAAUCUUUAUUGGCAAAUAUAGAACAAAGGAAGAGGAAAAGUAAGAAACAAAUGAAACAAAGGCUGGAAAGAAACAGGAUGUUUGUCAGUGGGUAUUUCCCCUGGCAGGUGAGGCACAUGGAAACAGAAAAAUCCUAACACAAAUGUUUAAUUCACUAGGUCAAAAUAUAAAGAAUUAAGCAUAAGAAGUCAUAACCAAAUUCUCUUACUCAUCCCUCACCGGACUGAGCCAACACCCAGUGAGCACAAGCAGAGGACGGUUGGAACUUCUGUUCACAAUUCCCCUUUCUCCCACAAUGCCUAACCUGGAAAGCACAGCACGGCCAUCUGAGCUCAUCAUCUGCUGCACAGAUGACAAAACCCUGCAAUUCAGCUGGAGACCAGGGAAAGCAGUCCUUCAAAUGCUCACGGCUCCCAGGCAUCCCAACUCAAACUUCACUGUAUGCCAGGAAAUCCCUUCCCAAGGUAAAAAAGGAAGGGACUUGGCAGCACAGAGAGCCCUGGCACACAAGCGCCUCGAGAGCACGCGUUCCUCAGCCCGCACACGCUAAACUCCAGCCUGGAACUGCCCUAUUUCUGCAGGCUCGAGCAAGAUUUAUUUUCCACAGUGCUAUGGCUACUUGUUCACCCGAAAAACACGGCAUUUGCAAAUUUAUUUAGAACAAGUAGGCUGAGCAGCCCAGCGUGACUCAGGGUGCAAAAUACCCGGCGCUGAAAGCAGGACCGACCAGUUUCCUGCUAUCAUUAAAGAAACAAUGCUGCGACAGAAUUAGCAUCUCCAGGCAAUCACUUCCAGCCCCCUGAAAUUUCUGGAAUAUACGCACCUGUUGUCAAAACAACCCCUCCCACAACCCUCACACCGUCUUCCUCCCCCUCUAAAGGGAAAAAAAAAAAAAAAAAAAAAAAAGAAAGAAGAAAAAAAAGUUUUGAAGCACUUCAGCAGACAAACAUGGGCCAUGCUUUUUUAGACGCCGGGCUGGCUCGCCGCUGGAGCAGGAAGCGCAGAGGCUGGGCAGGGUCUCGGGGAGGCAGGAGCAGACAGACAGACAGACAGACAGACAGACAGCCUGCGGGUGCGCGGGGGCUCCCGCGGCCCCGCGUGUAAAACGAGCGAGCGGCGUGACCCGGCCGCAGCGCCUCCCUCCCCGCGGCCCGGGGCAGGACGAGCGCGGCCCCCGGGCCCCCCGCGCGGCGGGGAGGGGGCAGCAGGGCCGGGAGGCCCCCGGACACCGGCACCGCGCUCCCGGCCGGAGGGAGGGCAGGCGGGAGG